rnacentral:tRNA from 10 species
UGGGGUAUCGCCAAGCGGUAAGGCACCGGUUUUUGAUACCGGCAUUCCCAGGUUCGAAUCCUCGUACCCCAGCCA